GUGAACUCUGCGGAUGAACCUCUGAACUCUGGGGCUGCACUGGGCUGGCCAAGGACAGCAACUCAUGUACAGCACAGCAAAAGCUCUAAGUAGCACCUGCAGCAGCACUAUGAACUGGGUGGGGCAGACGGGAGCCUUUUGAUACAAGAAGUUGCACGUCCUGUUAUGGCAAAACUGCAAGUCACCAGUUGGCACCCAGCGAGCAGCAGCAAGACCUGCUAAGAUUAUGAACAAACAGGAAAAUGAAGGUGAAGACGACUGAGUUAGCUGCAGAAGCCACUAUUUUAAGUUUCUCAUGUUGACCUGGCUGACAGUUGAUUUUUUUUAAAUAUUUCAUUUAACUAUUUUAGUCAAAUAAAUUUUAACAAAAACAAACCUGAUUCUUUAAAAAAGUGAAAGUUUAAAUUAAAAAAUUCAUAUGCUUGUUUUGUUAAAAUAUUAUGCGUUUGCUGUUGAAGAAAAAAAUCCAGAAUACAUAAAGUUGUUUUAGUUAAAUAAAACAAUUUAAAUGUCUGUCUGGUGAUGUUCUCCUCCAAAUACAGCAUGGCAAGAAAAUCCUCCAAAUAUUAAUGAGUAACCUGUUGAAUUGGAGAUAUUUAUGAAGUCAUUGGGAGGUGAACUAUCUGCUUCAACUACCUUUGGUAAAUGAAAUAACCAAACAAUCUUUCAUUUUCUGAUAUAGCGCUAAAACGAAUCUGAAAAGUUUUCAAAAAUAAAUCACUGCUUAAAAAUG